ensembl:lncRNA
GAAUGGUAGCGUGUAUAUUUAUGUAAUUUGCUAAUGUCUUACUAUAAAAUACAUAUAUAAUGCAUAUUAUAUUCAUAAUAUAUGCAUUCAUUGUGUACUAUAGGGCAUAGAUCAAGGCUUAUGGUUAAUGAUAUAGACAUUUUUUUAAACCCUCUUUUUAGAAUAUGUGUGCUAGCUAGCAUUAAACGUAAUUAAUCUCAAUAACAUGUUAGGUUUGACAACCAUGAAGUAAAUGCAUGCUGAUUUUAUAUGUACAAUGUUUCUAAAUGUGUUUUUUGUGGCUCUGUAUGUUCAGAAAGAGGAAGAGGAGGCUCGCCAGAGAGAAGAGGCAGAGCGUUUGCGUCUGGAGAGAGAGAAACACUUCCAGAAAGAGGAGGCUGAGAGAAUGGAGAGGAAGAAGGUAAGCUAAUUUCAUUUUGAGUGCUUUUUAAGGUAAUGGCAGGGUUGAAAUAUUAUCUGAAUCUUGUCUGUCACAGCGCCUUGAGGAAAUUAUGAAACGCACACGCCGAUCUGAUCAGGUAAGAUGUAAUGUCUGUGAGCAAUUGCUUUCCUCUUUUUAUCAUUGUUACCUCUAAUUUGAAGUGCUGGCUCUUCACUAACACACUUUCUAUUUAUUUACUUUUUUCCAUUUAUUUACGUUUUGAAGAAAACCACCCCACAGAGAAAUGGCGAUGUCAGCCAGCAGAGCGGACAGAAUUCAGUGAGUUCAAUAUCCAGCAGCCCUUCAGUGACAGUGUCAGCCCCUCAGGCUCCGGAGACCUCUGAGACAGUAUGCAGUGACAGUAAUGGACACACAGGGCCCAGCUGCGUUACACCCAUACUGCCCACAUCAGGUCACAGUGUGGUUGUCCAGCUCAGAGAAAAUGGCACUGUCACAGAGGCUUUCGAGGAGGUCAUAGAGGUUCCCGUGGGGACCAAACUGUCCCGUCAAGAUGGAGAUGGAGAGGAGGUGGAAAAUGAAGAAGAGGAGAAGAGAAAGGUUCCCUUAUUGGCUUUCAGAGAGAAUGGCAGCAUGCAUAAUGUGAGUGGACUGGAGGAAAACCCGGCACAGUAAAGUUCAGAUCCUGUCUCCUCAAACUGAAAUGGUGUGCUUUAGGAACCACAUCUGUCAUCUUUCUAAUACUUGAAGAAAAGUGUCGUCGCUGUCGUGGAGGCUCCUGUGAAGUGCUAACCAUAAGCAAUGUGUGACAAGAGAAUGAUGUUUGUUGUGUUUGCUUAGAUUUAUGGCAAAACCUUGUAGUUUUGCUCUCGUUAUGCCAGCAAUUGUGUGAGUGGCUGAACUCUCUGCUUAGUUUUAUAAUUAUUGUUCAAAUGAAGAGAACAUAUUUGUUUCCCUCUUUGCAAAGCUUGAACAGAUUUUUGCCUCUUGAAUUAUGAAUUUUGAUAUGGUUUGCAAAGACCUCGUCUCACUCCACCUCAAUGUACGGCUCUCUACGCAGUCUGAGCGAAGCAAAACUGUCAUCCUAUUUUUUUGUGAUGUGACUGGGUGAAUCGGACUUGCUCAGGAACAUAUCCAUGAUAUGUUUAACUCAAAAUUAAAUGGAAAAAAGUAUUAGCGUUUAAAUUAAGCACACCCUUUCAUUUCUUAUUACAGUAAUUGUGGGGAAAAUUAUUAUAUAUUAUGUAAAGUGUGAAGUAUGUACAUUGUGUAAACAGUUGUUCUAUUGCCUGUAAUUAAUGCCGAUUCAAAUAAAAAAAAUGUAUUACCUUUUUUCCA